UAGUCUGAUGCCAAGGUUCCGGACGACCAGGCAGGCCACGAAAAAACCAUGACCACCCUUCUGCCUGCUCUUUCCGGUGCCAACACCAUCUACGGAGCUG
rfam:Methanosarcina barkeri str. Fusaro, complete genome.